GACCAAGAGAACAGCCUUGAGAGGCAGACUGGGCGAGCUCCAGCCAGAAGCUGUGGACAGACGCGCCGAGACCGAACCCUGGGAAACCUCCCGUCCCGGCGCAGAGAAACCCUCAGGCCUGGAGGCAGCUGAGACACUCUGUUCCACCCUUUUUUUUUUUUAAAACUGUGGCAGUGCUGACACUCUGUGGAUAGGAAGGGGUUAAGGCACAAAGACACGGUUCCGGGGAGCUGUUGACAUGAUUAUGCACAGUAAACAGUGAAAGAAUCUCUGGCACACACAAAACAAAGGCGUAAUUACAGAGGUGGAGGAGUGAUUUCGUUAUGACAAGCUGCUGUGCAGAAGAUGUCCGCACUGUCUGCGACUAAUAUCGCUGAUGUUGGUCACGGCGAUGGCAGAGUGUUCCCCCCGUCGCCAGAGCUGCUCCUGGACUGCAGCAGCGCGGAGGAGACGAGCAGCAGCCUGGUGACCGAGGGCGGCCAUGACCCCCAGCAGAUCGGGCUGCCCCCCCCUCGCCCCGGGCCGCCCGCUCGGGGCCACAAGAGCGAGCCGGGCACCCCGGACCUGAGCUGCCAGCUGCCCAUGGACGCGGCUGCCGACGCACUGGCGGCGAGCCCAGGUAGGUGGCCUGCAGCCUGCGAGCCAUGGGCUGCUGCAGGGGUUGGCCUUUGGGCUGGGCUGCAGGAGGGCCAGCGCCUGUCCUCCGCGUCAUCAGUCCGAGCCCCGCGCUCUCCCCUGUGUCGCAGCGCGUAGAGCUGAGCGCACCAGGCCCGACCCGAGGGCACGGGGCUUCCAAAACGUGUAAAACAAGAAUUCAGCUUGAAAAGGUUAGGGUUAAGAAAAAUCUGUAAGUUGGGAAAGUUAUGGAUUACUUCUUACCAGAGGUCAUGUUUUCCUUCACAGCGCUCAUUAGAUGAAUGUAAUUUCUUGCUUAUUUCUCCCUCCUGCAAGUCACUUGUGACUGUAAGUUUGCUUUUUUAAAAAGACUUUGGUGGGGG
rnacentral:lncRNA from 1 species